rnacentral:misc_RNA from 1 species
AGCAGCCGCGGUAAUUCCAGCUCCAAUAGCGUAUAUUAAAGUUGUUGCAGUUAAAAAGCUCGUAGUUGAAUUUCGGGAUCAAUAUGUUGGUCGUGCCUCGGUACGUACUAGCUUAUUGGUUUCUCCUUUCUGAAGAACCAUGAUGUCAUUUAUUUGGUGUCGUGGGGAAUCAGGACUGUUACUUUGAAAAAAUUAGAGUGUUUAAAGCAGGCUCACGCUUGAAUACAUUAGCAUGGAAUAAUGAAAUAGGACGUUUGAUUCUAUUUUGUUGGUUUCUAGGAUCGACGUAAUGAUUAAUAGGGAUAGUUGGGGGCAUUAGUAUUCAAUUGUCAGAGGUGAAAUUCUUGGAUUUAUUGAAGACUAACUACUGCGAAAGCAUUUGCCAAGGAUGUUUUCAUUAAUCAAGAACGAAAGUUAGGGGAUCGAAGACGAUCAGAUACCGUCGUAGUCUUAACCAUAAACUAUGCCGACUAGGGAUCGGAUGGUGUUAAGUUUUUUAAUGUACUCAUUCCGGCGUCCG